rnacentral:lncRNA from 1 species
ACCCAGGCCAGGACUAUUAGUUCAAAAGACUAAAAUGUGUGUAAGACUGUCAUUUUGGGGAUCCCUGGGUGGCGCAGCGGUUUGGCGCCUGCCUUUGGCCCAGGGCGCGAUCCUGGAGACCCGGGAUCGAAUCCCACGUCAGGCUCCCGGUGCAUGGAGCCUGCUUCUCCCUCUGCCUAUGUCUCUGCCCCCCCCCUCUCUCUCUCUCUGUGUGUGUGACUAUCAUAAAUAAAUAAAAAUUAAAAAAAAAACUGUCAUUUUGAACUGCAUUUCUAUGGGAGCUGAAAGAGGUAUGGAAUGCCCUAUGGGAUUCUAUGCUCUGGCCAUAGCCUUGAAACAGUAAAUAUAUCUGAGUUUCUAAUGGUUUCUUGGAGAUAUGAGGAAGAGGACUUCAUAUUUUCGUCUACAAUAAUAUGUACCACAAACAUUUUUUGAACACCUACUAUAUGUAAGGUAAUGCAGAGCCCCUCCCUGACAACUUAUAUUUUAGUUGGAAAGACAGGACACGCACAAAAUGAGGUUAAGAACCAGUUCAAUAACCAUGUGCUCAAAAAGAGAGAAAUGAGAACCGGACAGGUCAGACAGGCUUCCUAAAGAAACUGCUAUUUGAGCUGGGCCUUGAAGAAUGGGUGGGAGAGAAGGGCCUCUUGUUCAUUCAUUCAUUCAUUCAUCAGAAUUCAUUCAACAAAUAUUCAUCUGUUGUGCCAGCUAUGUACCACUUUCUGUGCUCAGCAUCAUGAAUAUUAUGGUGAAUAAAACUGAAAGGGUUCCUGUCCUGUUGUAGUUUCUAGUUCAGAUAACAAAAUCAUAGAUUUCAUAGCACUUAUAUGUGCUGUGAGUGGUAAGCUUUCUAGUGGAAACAAGAUCUAAAUUGAUCUAUUUUUUAAAAGCCAAAAGUUUCCACCAAAGAGUGGUGGAAGAGUGUCCUAAGCAGUGGGAAUAGCAUCUUGUGAAGGCCUAGGGCAAGACAGAGCAUGGCAUUCUUGUGGAGUGGGAGGACCAUGAGCCAAGGAGCAGAGGGAGGAAGAAACUGGGUGUGUACCAGAAGCACUGUAGACACCAGUCAGGUCUGGCAGGUUAGAAGGCAAAGGCAUCAGUAUUCUAUCCUGGGAGCAGUGGGCACUCACUGAAGGUUACUGAGCCAGGAAAAGGUAGCAUGACAAAGUGCUGGUUUAGGAAGAUGAAUCUGUGACUAUGAGCAUGAUGGCAAGAUGCCUCAUUUGGUAUCCUCAGGGCAAGCUCUGGUCAAGCCUUGAAAUGUUAAACAAAUUGUUUAACAAAUUCUUACAUCUAACUAUUGUUUAAUCUAAAGUUAUUGUUUAACAAAUUCUUUUUCUUUUUA